rnacentral:misc_RNA from 1 species
CAAGAAGCCGAAAGGCUACUUAAAACCAUCGCGAACUUAUCCAAGUUGCUUCGGCGGCGCGGCUCCCCUCACGGGGGACCGCAGCCCCCGCCUCUCACGGAGGCUAAGGGGGCAGCCGCCGGAGGUACGAAACUCUGUAUUAUAGUGGUAUCUCUGAGUAUAAAACAAAUAAGUUA